GACGAACGCUGGCGGCGUGCUUAACACAUGCAAGUCGAACGGUGAAGCGCCUUCCUUUUUGGUGGGUGUGGAUGAGUGGCGAACGGGUGAGUAACACGUGAGUAACCUGCCCCCUUCUUCUGGAUAACCGCAUGAAAGUGUGGCUAAUACGGGAUAUUCUGGGUCUGUCGCAUGAUGGGUCUGGGAAAGAUAUUGUUUCGGUGGGGGAUGGGCUCGCGGCCUAUCAGCUUGUUGGUGGGGUGAUGGCCUACCAAGGCGGUGACGGGUAGCCGGCCUGAGAGGGUGGACGGUCACACUGGGACUGAGACACGGCCCAGACUCCUACGGGAGGCAGUAGUGGGGAAUAUUGCACAAUGGGCGCAAGCCUGAUGCAGCGACGCCGCGUGAGGGAUGGAGGCCUUCGGGUUGUGAACCUCUUUCGCCAGUGAAGCAGGCCUGCCUCGUUUGUGGGUGGGUUGACGGUAGCUGGAUAAGAAGCGCCGGCUAACUACGUG
rnacentral:rRNA from 1 species